CGGUCACUGUGUAGCUUUGCAAAUGUGCCAUCCUAGUCCUGCUCGUAACACCACGUAAAAAGGUUCGAGGAUUGACGCAUUCAACCAUGUGUCACCACAACACCCUCCUUCUGGCAAUGUGCGGGCUGGCUCUCACACAAUGUACUGCUUUUCCACCGUGCCAGGAUAUAUAUUCCAGUUGUAGAGAGUCGCACUGUCGUCAGCCAGGAGUGAAAUCAAUGUGCAAUAGGACAUGCGACCUUUGUC